rnacentral:rRNA from 1 species
UACGAAGGGGGCAAGCGUUGUUCGGAAUUACUGGGCGUAAAGCGCGCGUAGGCGGCUUUUCAAGUCGAUUGUGAAAUCCCCGGGCUCAACCUGGGAACUGCAUUUGUGACUGCAUGGCUAGAGUACGGUAGAGGGGGAUGGAAUUCCGCGUGUAGCAGUGAAAUGCGUAGAUAUGCGGAGGAACACCGAUGGCGAAGGCAAUCCCCUGGACCUGUACUGACGCUCAUGCACGAAAGCGUGGGGAGCAAACAGG